GAUGAACGCUAGCGGCAGGCUUAACACAUGCAAGUCGAGGGGUAUUGGUUUUCGGACCAAGAGACCGGCGCACGGGUGCGUAACGCGUAUGCAAUCUACCUUUUGCAGAGGGAUAGCCCCAGAGAAAUUUGGAUUAAUACCUCAUAGUAUAGUACUUUGGCAUCAAGGAACUAUUAAAGUCACAACGGCAAAAGAUGAGCAUGCGUCCCAUUAGCUAGUUGGUAAGGUAACGGCUUACCAAGGCUACGAUGGGUAGGGGUCCUGAGAGGGAGAUCCCCCACACUGGUACUGAGACACGGACCAGACUCCUACGGGAGGCAGCAGUGAGGAAUAUUGGACAAUGGGCGCAAGCCUGAUCCAGCCAUGCCGCGUGCAGGAUGACGGUCCUAUGGAUUGUAAACUGCUUUUAUACAGGAGAAACACUCCGACGUGUCGGAGCUUGACGGUACUGUAAGAAUAAGGAUCGGCUAACUCCGUGCCAGCAGCCGCGGUAAA
rnacentral:rRNA from 1 species